rnacentral:rRNA from 1 species
AAUUGUUCGCAAUGGGCGCAAGCCUGACGACGCAACGCCGCGUGGAGGAUGAAGACUUUCGGGUCGUAAACUCCUUUCGACCGAGAUGAAUAGCCCGGGAUCUAAUAGUUCCCGGGCCUGACAGUAUCGAGGGAAUAAGCCCCGGCUCACCUCGUGCCAGCAGCCGCGGUAAGACGAAGGGGGCUAGCGUUGUUCGGAAUUACUGGGCGUAAAGCGAGUGUAGGCGGUUGUCCAAGUCAGGCGUGAAAGCCUCGAGCUCAACUCGAGAAAUGCGCUUGAUACUGGGCGACUAGAGGACCGGAGAGGAUAGUGGAAUUCCCAGUGUAGUGGUGAAAUACGUAGAGAUUGGGAAGAACACCAGUGGCGAAGGCGGCUAUCUGGACGGUUACUGACGCUAAGACUCGAAAGCGUGGGGAGCAAAC